rnacentral:sRNA from 1 species
ACACCCACAAAUAAAAUGGAUCGGUGUAUUUACUUAUAAGUGUAAUGCAUGUCUAAAUUAUCAAGACCAUAUUGCAUUGUGUUAUCACAACGUAUCUGUGUCGCCAGAGUUCAAUACGUAAUGGAAACUAGUCUGUAAUGAGGUUUAGUCGGGUCGUAAAGAUGUGUCCAUUCGAAUCAAUAAGGAGUGUCCUUGGCUGUUGUUGAUGUAACCUGAGUCGUAGUUUAUGGAAAUAAGCCUUUUUGGGGGAUUUUCGACCAUUGUCCAGACCGGUGAAGCACUCAUAUGAUCACAUCAUGGUUACAGCAGACUUAGUAGUUCUGGACAGUGGAAGCAUUAAAAUUCUUCUUCUUGCGAUGAACUUGUUCCUUUCACUGGGCUGUACUUUAUGUCUGUUCUCUUUAUCUUAAACAAGAAUAAUCAAGUUUCAUUUAGAGUUUCAAAAAAUAAACAAUCAGCCUAACAUGUAAUAAAAGCAUUCUGAAUAAAAUUCUGAAUAC